rnacentral:rRNA from 1 species
UGAGUAACCUGCCCUUAACUCUGGGAUAAGCCUGGGAAACUGGGUCUAAUACCGGAUAUGACUCCUCAUCGCAUGGGUGGGGGGUGGAAAGCUUUUGUGGUUUUGGAUGGACUCGCGGCCUAUCAGCUUGUUGGUGAGGUAAUGGCUCACCAAGGCGACGACGGGUAGCCGGCCUGAGAGGGUGACCGGCCACACUGGGACUGAGACACGGCCCAGACCUCCGUACGGGAGGCAG